rnacentral:rRNA from 1 species
AGUGAACGCUGGCGGUAGGCCUAACACAUGCAAGUCGAACGGCAGCACAGUAAGAGCUUGCUCUUACGGGUGGCGAGUGGCGGACGGGUGAGGAAUACAUCGGAAUCUACUUUUUCGGGGGGGAUAACGUAGGGAAACUUACGCUAAUACCGCAUACGACCUACGGGUGAAAGCAGGGGAUCGUCGGACCUUGCGCGAUUGAAUGAGCCGAUGUCGGAUUAGCUAGUUGGCGGGGUAAAGGCCCACCAAGGCGACGAUCCGUAGCUGGUCUGAGAGGAUGAUCAGCCACACUGGAACUGAGACACGGUCCAGACUCCUACGGGAGGCAGCAGUGGGGAAUAUUGGACAAUGGGCGCAAGCCUGAUCCAGCCAUACCGCGUGGGUGAAGAAGGCCUUCGGGUUGUAAAGCCCUUUUGUUGGGAAAGAAAAGCAGCAGGUUAAUACCCCGCUGUUCUGACGGUACCCAAAGAAUAAGCACCGGCUAACUUCGUG